rnacentral:lncRNA from 1 species
UUUUGUACAAAUGGGAUCUCACUAUGUUGCCUAUGCUGGUCUUGAACACCUAGGCCCAACGAUCCUCCAGCCUCGCCUUCUAAAGUGUUGGGAUUCCAAGAGUGAGCCAUGGUGUCUGGCCUCAAAAAUCUUUAAUACCUUUAUAGAGUUGUGCAAUCAUCACCACAAUCCAGUUUUGAGACAUUUCCAUUACUCCAAAAAGAUCAUUCAUGCCAUUUGCAGUUAACCACCACUCCCAUCUCCAACCUCAGCUACUGUUGAUCUUGCUGUUUGCACAGAUUUGCCUUUAUGGGAAGUUUCAUAUAAAAAGAAUCAAACAAUAUGUGGCCUUUUGCAUCUGGCUUCUUUCACUUAAUGCUUUUGAGGCGUAUGCAUGUUGUAGUGAGUAUCAGGUGUACGUCAUGUAUACGCAGGAAUAUCUGUCCCUUUGCUGUCGGGGAGGACGCCAUCGCAUGGAGGUCCUGCAUUUUGUUUUUCUGUUUCUCAGUUGACGGUCAUGUGGAUUGUUUACAGGUCUGGGCUAUUAUGAAUAAUGCCACUAUGAACAUCUGUGUCCAGGUUUCUGAGUGGACACACACGGCUAAUUUUAUAAUAAAAAAAACAAAACCAAAGGACCAAAAUGAAUUCUGGAACUGUUUCUGGAAUACGUUUCCUUUUACCAAAAUGGGAAUUCUAAUAGCAGGGCAGGAAAUGUAAAGUAGGAGAGAAAGAAGUGGGCUCACAGCAGCCUUUCCCCUCCUCGGAUUUGGGAACAAAGAGGCAGGAUUGUCCCACUCUAGAAGUGGCUCAUAUUCGCACAGUUCAUCCAAAGCUACAGAACACGCUCAACAUCCCAUCUGCCCCGCGGCACCUCUGAUAUCGAUCUCAAUCCAAACACCCACCCCUCUCUUGAGUCUCUUAGUUCAAGGACAGCAAAUUCAGGACAUCGCACUUCCCUGCCCCUGAUGCAUUUAGUGAGAGCGGGGGUUUGAGUUUGGAUGACUGUGGAGAAAAGCCCCAAGCACCAGUGUCAAUUCCUGGGCUGAGACUUUAAGGUUUAGCAAUUCAAGUGUUUCAGCUAGGUCCCUUCCCAGUGUACAAAGGUCAAAGUUUGCAGUUAUGGAAGGAAAAGGAUCAGAAAAAACCAUGGAAAAUAGGAUCUGGUUCUAUAAGCAGGAAAGAGAUGCAGGAAACAAUUUAGAGGAAAAGAGGCAAAAAGUAUACUGGCUCUCCAAGCUGGGGUGUCUUAUUCACCAAGAAGUGGCGAGAAGCAGACAGACAGCACGUUUUGUCGGGGGACAGUGGUUUUUGUUUUUUUGUGUUUUUUUUGAGACAGAGUCUCACUGUAUUGCCCAGGCUGGAGUGUAGUGGUGCAAUCUCGG